GCCUGCCAGCAUAACAGGACCUGUAAUGAUCUGACCACAGCCCUGACAUGCUUCGCCGUAAGCAGCCCAAUAAUCGUCUUUACAAAAUAAUAUAUCACGCAUAACGAAUGCAAGUAAUUCUAAGAAGAGAAAAGGCGGGCUGAAGGGAUGUGUCUCGGGAAAGAAACAUGAAUCACGUUUGACAUUAAGCAUGAGAUCGACGAAGUAAUCAAGCAGCUGAUAGCGAAGUGAACGAUUGGAAAGUGCUGCAGAAUUGUUCGAGUGACGUGAGACACUGCAUUUUGCGAUGACGAAUGGAGAUUACAUUUGUCGCGGACACGAGAAGAUAACGCGACAAAACACAUAAAUAAACUUAUUAAUGCGGGAGUGUGGGUAACAAGAGACACGGAAGGUAGCCAGACGAUAGAUCGAACUAUAGUUACCAGGAUGAAUAUAAAUAUGUACAGCAGAAUACAUUCAAAGGAUAACAUAAUUGCACCAUCCAAACAAUCGGUCAUGCUAUUACGAAAGGAUUGAGGUAACUUAAUUUCUAAGAAUGGUAUGUAGUUGAUAACGUGCACAAUUGUGCGCGACAGUAAGGACGGCAAUUUGAUACGUAAUAAACAACUUAGUUGUCAUCAUAUCAUGGUCGUAUACUGGAUCAGCCCUUUUAUCUAUUCUUUUUAUCAUCUUGGGGGUUGUCCUUCUGUCGCUUCCGAAUU